ensembl:snRNA U6 U6 spliceosomal RNA
AUGCUCACUUCAGUAGCACAUAUACUAAAAUUGGAAUGAUAUGGAGAAGAUUAGCACGGCCCCUACGCAAGGAUGAGAUGCAAAUUUGUAAGUGUUUCAUAUUUUUU